rnacentral:ribozyme from 1 species
GUUGCAACUUCGUAAACCGUAGCAGAAGCAUUCAUGGUACGGUCUGUCAGAUUCCAACGAAUCUGCAAAUUCUGCU